GACGAACGCUGGCGGCGUGCUUAACACAUGCAAGUCGAACGGAAAGGCCCUGCUUUUUUGGGGUGCUCGAGUGGCGAACGGGUGAGUAACACGUGAGUAACCUGCCCUUGACUUUGUGAUAACUUCAGGAAACUGGGGCUAAUACCGGAUAGGAGCUCCUGCUGCAUGGUGGGGGUUGGAACGUUUCGGCGGGUGGGGAUGGACUCGCGGCUUACCAGCUUGUUGGUUGGGUAGUUGCUUACCCAGGCUUUGACGGGUAGCCGGCCUGGGAAGGUGACCGGCGACAUGAGGACUGAGGGACGGACCAGACGGCUACGGGAGGCAGCGGCGGGGAAUAUUGCACAAUGGGCGGGAGCGUGAGGCAGAAGCGCCGCGUGCGGGAUGACGGCCUUCUGGGGGUAAACCGCUGUCGCCUGUGACGAAGCGGGAGUGACGGUAAUGGGUAAAGAAGCACCGGCUAACUACGUG
rnacentral:rRNA from 1 species